GUAUAUACUAUGGUAUAACGAGUGGUUUCACGCUUGAAUUUCUUUCGUUGAGUCAGACAACCAGAGGGCGCACAGUCGAAAGUAUAGCGUUCCGAACAAAAACGCAUCGGCACGCUCGAAGUGUUCCAUAGAAGCGUAAGAAAUAUUUUUCCAAAGGAUUUCGUCCGUAGAAGUUUGCGCAUUAUUUCUCGGCUUUCUGCCUUCACGAAGAAAAUAGGAAGAGAGAGAGAGAGAGAGAGAGAGAGAGAGAGAGAGA